AGUGAACGCUGGCGGUAGGCCUAACACAUGCGAGUCGAACGGCAGCACAGUAAGAGCUUGCUCUUACGGGUGGCGAGUGGCGGACGGGUGAGGAAUACAUCGGAAUCUACUUUUUCGUGGGGGAUAACGUAGGGAAACUUACGCUAAUACCGCAUACGACCUACGGGUGAAAGCAGGGGAUCUUCGGACCUUGCGCGAUUGAAUGAGCCGAUGUCGGAUUAGCUAGUUGGCGGGGUAAAGGCCCACCAAGGCGACGAUCCGUAGCUGGUCUGAGAGGAUGAUCAGCCACACUGGAACUGAGACACGGUCCAGACUCCUACGGGAGGCAGCAGUGGGGAAUAUUGGACAAUGGGCGCAAGCCUGAUCCAGCCAGACCGCGUGGGUGAAGAAGGCCUUCGGGUUGUAAAGCCCUUUUGUUGGGAAAGAAAAGCAGCAGGUUAAUACCCCGCUGUUCUGACGGUACCCAAAGAAUAAGCACCGGCUAAUUUCGUG
rnacentral:rRNA from 1 species